rnacentral:rRNA from 1 species
AUCACUUGUUCUUUAAAUGAGGACUAGUAUGAACGGCUGCAUGAGGGCCUAACUGUCUCCUGCGAUCAAUCAAUGAACCUGAUCUUUCAGUACAAAAGCUGAAAUAUACACAUAAGACGAGAAGACCCUGUGGAGCUUUAAACAAACCCUAAUUCACUACCCCCUCCCCUCCCCCAAGGCACAAAACCCGUAAUUAGCAGCGUUUUAAGUUGGGGCGACUGCGGGGAAAAACAAAACCCCCAUGCACAACUAAGUACUACAAGUAGACAUACUGACAGUAAUAAAUUUGACCCAGCACAGCUGAUUAACGAACCAAGUUACCCCAGGGAUAACAGCGCAAUCCCCUUCAAGAGUCCCUAUCGCCAAGGGGGUUUACGACCUC